AUACGGAGGGUGCAAGCGUUACUCGGAAUCACUGGGCGUAAAGCGCGCGCAGGCGGCUUGAUAAGUUGGAUGUGAAAGCCUACGGCUCAACCGUAGAACUGCAUCCAAAACUGUCAAGCUAGAGUCUGGGAGGGGAAGAUGGAAUUAGUUGUGUAGGGGUAAAAUCCGUAGAGAUAACUAGGAAUACCAAAAGCGAAGGCGAUCUUCUGGAACAGUGCUGACGCUGAGGCGCGAAAGCGUGGGGAGCAAACAGGAUUAGAAACCCCAGUAGUCC
rnacentral:rRNA from 1 species